UUAUGAGUUGAAGAACCUGGAGAACGAUGAAGGACGAACCAGUUGCUGCAAAAGUACAAUGUUGAGGAAGAUCCGACAGAUCCGGCUCCUCCUCCGCUCUCCUCUUCUCUCUCCCUAUUUUCUAGAUUACAACUAGAACUAACUAGAACUAGAACUAGAAGAACUAGAACUAGAACUAGAUGAACUAGAACUAGAUCUAGAUGAACUAGAGGUAGAACUAGAAGAACUAGAGGGAUCCUCUCUACUUGGAUGAAGAAUUGAAACCCUAGCUUUGAUUAUGUAGAAGAGGUAUGAUCUCCAGGGGCCAGGGGGGUCUGGUUUUAUAGUCCCUUCAAGUGAAUCUGGGCCGUCAGAUCAAACCGACAUUGAUCGUGUGGUUUUCCUUGAAGUAUUAGGUCGGUGGAGCAUGAUCCCCGAACUUCACCCUGAUUGGUCCAGGGGGGAGGGCGGGCGCCCAGUAAGGGAGGGCGGGCGCCCAGUGCCCGGCUCCGUUACGUCUCCCGUUCGCUCCCGUGGCUUCUGGACUCUUCUAGAUGGUAGAUAAUUGUGCGGCACGUUAAUAUCUCUAUGUAAACCCGACGUGUGGGCCUUUCUUCCGUAUUUCCUGAUAACCCCCUGCAGAAAUAGACAAGCACCAAAACUUGUGGAAUUCUGUCAGAUAAAACCCUAAGUCUAGGUGUUGGUUGCAUUUGGAUCCUUUUCCAUGAUUAGUUGAUGGUUAAAUGUGAGCAUUAAGGACCGUCAACAAGCUCCCCCAAGCUUAACCUUUGCUCGUCCCUGAGUAAAGAUGGACUCAAGAGUUUCUGCAGUGGUUUCAUGCCUUAAAGAUACACAUGCGUUCAGAUAAGAUCUUAUCUCUGGGUUAGGGUAAACUGUUAAGAUUUAAACUUACUCAUUUUACCUUCCACCAUGGGGCUUGUAACCGUCACUUGUGUCUUGAGCAGUUAAAAGAUAGAACGGUCAAGUCAAGCGCCAUGUCUCUUGUUCUUCGAUUAACUAUAGCUCUGGAGUUUUUGCAGAUUUUCAAAUAAAACUCAGAGAUUCCUUGUAUGACUCUCUCUAGUCUCUCUUUUGUGGUAUUUCUGGAUCCUUACCAAGGCAGUAAUGGUGUAUGCCUUCUCUCAAAGUAUGUGGUAUUUUUGGUAUGAGGCAUAGUGGCAUUGCCUUCUCUCUCACCCUACUCUAAUAAGGUUUUGAUAUCUGGAGCUCAUAGGUGGGAGACAGCUAAUACAUACUUACAAGACAUUUAUUGCAUAGUCAAACCAUGGAUCCAGAAAAACAAGUCAAUAAGUCAAAUCAAGAUGUGCAUGUGUGGCGAAUGAAUGGUGUAUGGUGAUGAUGGUGAUAACAAUGGUGAAAGUCUAAUUCUACUUGUGCUCUUUUGAGGGGAUACAUACCUUUCUUGCUCUUUCGAAACUUUCAGGGAGAAUGAGAUGCUCUAUAUUUUCUUUUUCUUUUCUCUCAAACGGGUAUCUUGUACCCCUAAUUCUACUGUCGGACACUUGUCCAUUUUUACCUCUUGUCUUACUUUUUUCUUUUCUUUCGAGGUUCCGGGCACUUGCCCCUUUUUAUUUCCUCGUAUCUUUCUUUUUUUUUCUUUUUUUAGAGCACUCAUCUCUUGAAAUAAUGUAGCAAGUGGCAGUAACAAGAUAACUUGAGCAUUUAUUUCACAAGGGAAAACAGAAAUGUUUUUGGCUAUUCUCUCCCUGAUUAGGAGUAGAAUAUUUUUGAUUGGUUCUGGAGAUGGAAAUGGAUGGAUAUAUGUGGAUGCGUACUUCCGGAGUAGAAGCAGCAUGUAUGAGUGAAUGUGAAAGUGAAUCUUGAUUUUAACCACAUGACAAGCUCCUAAGGGUCUACACAGCUUGACCACACUCAAUGCUCAUAAGCAGUAAAAAGUAAAUGUGUGGCUCAAAGUCUAGCAAGCAUGUAUAUCUGGCUGUGGUAGGAAUUUAAACUCUCAUCAUACAGGAACUCAUCUUGCAACAUUUUAAAGAUUUUGCAAAGAUAAAAUUCUCCAGAAUUCUAGCAUCUCUAGGAACAGAUAAACAGCAGCUCAACCUUCCCAUAUUAUAUCUGUUAACGACUUAGACUUCAGAUCAAGUACUCUUCCCACAAGUUUAGGUUUAGAGCAAAUCUUAAUUAAUAACAGUUAUGCCUAAACUUGAGAGAAAGCUUAAACUUGAAAACUAGGUACAUGGCAGAGCAACUAUUAUCAUUUCCAUGUGAGAGCUUAUCAUGAGGGUCCAUAGCAAACUUUACUUAUUUAUUUAUUUAGAAAACUAAGCAAAGAUAUAUAUAUAUAAGCACAAAAUCUUUAUUUGGGUUUUUAUGAUUAUGCAUCUUUUUAUUAUUCGAGUAAAGUAUAAACAUGAGUAGAACACUUAGCUGGAUAAAUGGGAGUGCUCUCCUCCAAGCUGGAUUUUGACGUAAUUCCUUGUGAUGUAGCUAGUAGGUAGCGGAGAUGUGUUUGAAUGUCGGCAGCACCCUGACAGUGAUUAGGAUGUCCUCCGUCUGCUAGUCUUCUUUGAUCCUUGAAUUCUGUGGAGCUCAAAUAGACAACAAAGCUUUGUGGAACUGGUUAAGUGUUAGCAUAAGUAUCUAACCUUUAUCAUGUUGAGCCUCCUCAAUAAAUAUUACUCUCCUUAGUAGGAUCAUAAAUUUAUUUUUAUAUUUUCAUUUUUAUAGGACAUGAAUAUAUUUAGUUUGUUUUUACGCCACCACAGUGAAUGUACUUAUGGGUUUUAUGCCAUGAGCAUACUCACAUGGGGCUUACUAUUUUUAACAUUUUUAUUUUCUUUUCAAGAUGAUAUGAACCUGAUUAAUUAAGCAAACUAUUUUAAAAUAAUUGAAAGGAAAAAGAUAACUACCAAGCUUACCUCUUGGCAAGGCGUUCGGUGUUUUUAAGUCCUUCGAACGGGACUCUCCAUUUUCUCAGUCGUCCUGGGAUUCGCUGGAUGGCGUAGUCGGUGAUUCUGGCGGUGCGUACUCUUCAUGUAUAACUAUCUUCUUUCUCCACACCUGCCUUGGUGCACUUCUCCUUCGUACUCCGCCCAUCCGUCCUUGAUGAUUUGCCUCCUCUAGUUGCAGUUGCGUCGUCUUCUUCUUGUCCUGACCUGCUUAGAGUCUUCAACUAUAUAGUUAGGGUCGGUGAAAUAGCAGCGUACCUUCUCAGAGGGGAAAUGCAAUGUGGACUUCUCCGGUUCCAAUGUAGAUGAUUGCUUUAAUGGUGCUGAGGAACAGUCUUCCAAGGAUGACAGGUGGAUCGAAUUCAUCUUAUCCUUCAACCUUUCGGAAUGUCUGAUCUGCCAUCUGGAGCUGGGUCGUCCUUUUUGUCAGAAACAGUGACGUAAGUUGAUGAUCUUGACCUCCUUGAGCUGCAGUGACCAUCUUAGCUGACUCGGUACACAUUUACUUGUUCCUGUCCCUCCUGUUGAUCCUCUUCCUUGGUUCAUGUCGGGAUUGCUUUGAGAUUUGUGUAAUCUUGUUCUUGAAGGAAAAUGUCUCCUUCUUUCCCUUGAUGUAGAAACUGAUCUUGACAGCACUAGCGUAGAUGACAGCUCCCGAGGUGUUCAGGAAUGGCCUCCCUAGGAUGAUGGGUGCCCUCUCAUCAGUACCAGUCUCUAUCACCACGAAGUCUGCUGGGGCGUAUAAGGUACCAACUCGAACACAAAGGUUCUUCAAUAUUCCCUUUGGGAAACUUAGUGUCUGAUCUGUAGGCUGCAAGCACACGGUUGUUUCUAGUAAAGGAUGUGU
rnacentral:lncRNA from 1 species